rnacentral:rRNA from 1 species
AGCGAUCUUGUUAGCAAUAAUGAGAGAGCGGCGGAAGGGUGAGUAACACGUAGGAGACCUACCUCAUCGCAGGGAACAACUUCGCGAAAGCGGAGCUAAUACCCAAAAGGCUCACAGAUUCAUUUUUGUGAGGAGAGUACGAAAGUGCGUGAUGAGAGGGUCCUGCGGCCCAUCAGCUAGUUGGUAGGGUAACGGCCUACCAAGGCAACGACGGGUAGGGGGUCUGAGAGGACGAUCCCCCACACUGGAACUGAAACACGGUCCAGACGCCUACGGGUGGCAGCAGGGAGGAAUAUUGGGCAAUGGACGAAAGUCUGACCCAGCAACGCCGCGUGAAGGAUGAAGGCCUUCGGGUCGUAAACUUCUUUUAGGGGAGACGAGAAAGGACGGUAUCCCCUGAAUAAGCCACGGCUAACUACGUGCCAGCAGCCGCGGUAAAACGUAGGUGGCGAGCGUUAUCCGGAUUCAUUGGGCGUAAAGAGCUUGUAGGUGGUGCGAUAAGUUGGACGUGAAAACUCCGGGCUUAACUUGGAGAGGCCGUUCAAUACUGUUGUGCUAGAGGGCGUCAGAGGGAAGUGGAAUUCCUGGUGUAGCAGUGAAAUGCGU